AUGUUUCAUUAUGAUACUUUAUUCUGAUUGGCUAACACGUGGUCCCACAAUAAAGUGCACAGGUGAAUUAAGUAAAACAAUAAUAAAAUUCGUGUUUUCAUGAUCAUUGCUAAAAAUGUAAUUAUAAGUAUUGAAUUCUACUUUUUGUAACUUCAUAGGGUUGUAAAAGCGUUAACCGUGCGCACAUUUUUAGUAUGAAGCGCUUCCGCGCUUCAUACAAAAUGUACUUCGGUCAACGCUUUUACACCCCAAUGAAGUUACAAAAACAAGCAUUCAAUUCUUAAGUAAUCUAGAUGACAUGUGUUUACAUUUUCUGAAUAAGGACACCAUCCAUGCCCUUUUCCAUUUACUACUUCUUUUUAUGGUAUUGAAACAAUUUCAUUACAACAAAGGAAAACAUCUACAUGAGUCAAUUUGUCAACAAUAUCUACUUAGGAAUCAUAAUGAAACCAUGUAUCCAUCCUCUAUAUAACCACAAUUAAAAAUUUUUUUUUUUGGUUUUUGUAUGUUUAAAUUACAGUUAAUUUUCUGUAAAUGAUAUAUAUAUAUGUUCCAGACCGUAUGAGUAUUUGGACCGUACGCGUACGGUCCGGACCGUAUACGUAUACUCGUACGGUCCGACCAUACGCGUACAGUCGGACCAUAUGAGUAUACGCGUACGGUCCAGCUGACCAUACAUGUUUUGGGAUCAUAUGGGUUAAAUUCAAACAAAUAUUUAUCAAAAUCCUUAUUAUUAGUUAUACAAAUUGUUAUUAUUAAAAUAAGAUGGAUAAAGUGAAUAAGCGAACAAUUGACAUUGAAUAUUUGUUUGAUUUUAUAUCCGUGAAUCCUUUUGUGUUACUCUGGCCCAAGGUGACACUUGCUUCCACAAGGAACGUCAUAUUUUUUUUACAUUUUCAUGCAUGUUCCUUUGCAUAUGCAUUUCUUUGUAAAGUUCCUAAAUAUUCUUCAACAAUUGUCCUGCCACAUU
rnacentral:lncRNA from 1 species